rnacentral:rRNA from 1 species
UACGGGAGGAACAAGCGUUAUUCAUAGUGACUUGGCGUUUAGGGUAUUCUGGUGGGCGGUUGUUGGUUUAUAUGAAAGACUUGCGGGCAACGGAAGAAUGGUAUAUUUGACGAGACCGGCUUGAGUUGAUAGAGGUUACGGGUAUGAUAAGAAGAGCGAUGCAAUGCAAUUACACUUGUAGGAACACCGAUGGCGAAGGCGGCUCACUGGCCCGGUACUGACGCUGAGGUGCGAAAGCGUGGGGAGCAAACAGG